rnacentral:lncRNA from 1 species
UUUUUUUUUUUUUUUGCAAGAAACAUUUAAAAUGGAUUCUUCAUACAUAAUAUAUAUCAUUUAUAUAUUUAUGUUUUACUUCUACCUGCUCCGAUGGUAUGCCAUUGUUAAGUAUAUGGCCAGUGAGGGAUGCUUUGAGCAUGUCCAUGCUUGGUGAUAAGCAUAGCUAUGUUUCCAGGGGAUGAACGUCUUCUUUUAUGUGUUCUUUCUGUUUGCAUGUCUUUCUUUACAUGAUGCUACCAUGUGAAAAGCAUUGUGAACAUGGCUUGGAGGUUCAAAUACUUCAAGCCUUAAAAGAUAAAUCUUCAUCUCGCUGAUCCACCACAACUUUUAGCCCCAGGUUAGGUAAAUAUUUUCUUUGUACCAUUGGUCAUUUUGGAGUUGUGAACUCCUCGGUUCAUCCCAUUCGUUUGAUUCAAGGAUCGAUUAAUGGAAACUUCAAAAUUUUGGUUUUAUUAUUAUUAUUAUUAUUAAAAGAGUAUUGAAUGUGGUAUAUAGUUAAGAAAAACAUACCAUUGAGCUAAUGAAAGUUUUAACAUAAAUGCACGGGUUCAAUUUCAAUUCUAACUAUUUGCAAAGAACCGAUCAGACAGGUCAUGGUUCUGGCCAACUUGUCCAUUUUUUUUCAGCACCAGUCCUUACAACUAAAUAUAACUAAAACUGGCUUAAGCUGUCUGUACUUUUAUCUCUGCCUUUACCGCUUUAUAGAGCCUUUCAAUUUAGGUGCAUAUGACAUUAUCUUUCUCCUUAUUCUUAUAGUUCUAGUUAAUUUUUACUUCCCUAAAAAAUGUUGAAGCUUUCUUUACUUUUUUAAUUUUAUUCUUCUUUUUUCCUUUUCUAAUCGUGUGAAUGUUCAUUAAAAUGACCAGACAAGUUGACUCCUGCUGCAUUUGAGAAGCAUUCUGGAAGAGAGACAGCUAGGAAAUGGAAAAAUAAUGUUUGGCUGAUAGUUAAAGGGGAGAAGGUUCCACUAUCAAAGACUGCAUUUCUAAAAUACUACAAUCAAGCAUCGAAAAAUGGCAAUGGUAUUCACAAAGCGCAUAGUGGAAGAGUUUGUCAUCGUGAUGAGUUUGUUCGCUGUAGCAGGUGUAAGAAGGAGAGAAGAUUUCGAUUGCGGACAAAAGAGGAAUGUAGGAUUCACCAUGAUGCUUUAGCAGAUGUGAACUGGAAAUGUUCUGAUAUUCUAUAUGACAGGUUUGUCUUCCCAUUAUUGAUUAUGUUCUUAUAUGAUAAAUUGCAUUUAUCAUGUUCAAGCCUGUUGCCUCAUGCGCAUUAAGGCAUUAGUAAUUCUUAAACAUGCUUCUAAAUCCAUGUUGUAAGAAUUAAAAUGUAAUAUGUAGAUAAUGCUUGUAGUAACAAGACACUUAUUUAUCUCCAAUUUAAUAUGUAUAUUGGAGUACGACUUUUCAAAAUCCAUAAGAUUAUUUCAUGAUCCGUUUCAUCUUUUGCUUCUCUAUCAUGAAGGCAUUUCAUGCGCUGUAGCUCAAUAUAUGACUACCUAGGAGGCAUGGACACGGACAUGUUUUUGGACAUACCAGAAUAUGUAUCAGACUGAGUCGGAUACAAAAAAUAUAAAAUAAUAUUAUUUCUAAACGGAGUCUGAUAUAGACAUUAAAAUAUCAAAACAUUGCCUAGAAAAGAAGAAAAAGCCAUUGCUUUGGUGAAGCAAUGGUGGCUGAAGAAGGUGAAGAAAAAGACAUCUACCUUGCACUGCUCGUAUUAAGCAGAGAGAAUAAAGAAACUUGGGAUUUUUGUCAAGUUAUAAAUUGGGCUUGUCAAUGAGCUGAUGGUCAAGCCCAAAUUAACAUUUCACUUAGUCUUAUUAAGGCCCAAAAACUAAAGAAGAUGACUUAGGUUUUUGCCUAAUGACAAUUUUAUGGCCUUUAUGUCUUGAGAUAGAAGGUUUUCUUAUAGAGAAAAAUAAUAAAAACAUUUAAACAUGGAAUUGAAUUAAUUAAAAUAUGUUUUUAAUUGUUUUAUCUUUAUCAUGCUGUGUCUUAUUUAAAAAAAAAAAAAACAACUGUCAUGUUUUGUCCUUUUCCCAUCAAAGGCAUGUCUUGUUUUUCUAAAAAAUGUCAUGUUUUUAUGUUCAUGUCAUGCCAUGCGGUAAAUUGUAUUCUGCAUGUGUCUUGCUUCAUAGAUGGCUACAGGAACUAAUGAUCAGUCAUUUUUAUUCCUCUUUUAGUUUGCUUUGCUAACCUUUUUUCUUACAUAUUUGCAUAAUUUGGCCUUGCAUAUGGAGUUGAUUCUUUUGCAUAAUGUGUAUUUAGUUGAUCAAAAUGGGUAGCAGCUUUUACAUCUCAUAAAUACCUAUGGGUUCAUAGCUUCUAAAAGUUAUCAAUAUUCUUUGCCAAUGAAACAAGCACCUGUAUUGCAGAUGAUCUUCACCUAAAAUCAGUUAGAUUGGAUGUUGAGAAACGUAAAAAGUAAAUUUGGUUGAAGAACCUAGUACUGAACAUAAAGCACAUAGUUUUGGCCCUAGUGCAGUUCUGGAUUAUUCACUUUUAAGAAAUUUAUCAACCAUGCUACAUUUGAUCUUUGCGUAAAGCUGGAAACCAUAAUGAGAAGCAUAAGAUCUUACCGUUUCAUCUAUUGGACCGCAAUGUAAUUGCUUUCCUAUAUGCUCGUAUUAGAAUUACCUGAUAAGGAGGCUACAAGAAAUGAGUUUGGCUGUUGAGUGUCCUUCAAAUUGGAGGAAAUUUACAGUCAAGCGCUAUUUGGGGUCCAUAAUAUGAAAUGGUGACAGGUUUAUUUUUCAAAGUCAUGAAAGGGGGGAUUGUGAGAUAGUUAGGUCUUUCUCAAGGAAGGAAUCUAGAUGUCCUAUUUUACAUAUCGAUUCUUAUCCUGAUAUGCCAGAUAUGUUUCAUUGGUUAUCUUAGAAAAGCUGCCAGGUAUUCUUGAUUAUCUUCCAUAAAUUUUUGGCACCAAAAGAUGAUUUACUUGUGCUAUUAGAAAAUAGCUCUAUAGUAACCAGCUCGUUUUCCUUGCAUAUUGUAAAGUUCUACUGUUCUUGCUUACCUGUCUGUUUGAUUGUUGCUUUUGGGGUUUGGAAAAUGCUUUUAGUUGGCAAGUUCACGAAAAUUAUAUAAUUUACCAGAACAUGCAGUUUUUCCUCUGAUUUGUUGUUAGUAAUAUUAUGAAUGCAAAUGCUGAGAGAGGACUUUCAAGUGUUUAUAAGUGAUGCUAUGCUGAAUUUGUUUGCAUGUGAAGGUAGUAUACACUCAUAAUUUGCUAUAUGUUAUGUAGAAUACACUUUGGCUCAGAAUUAACUUAUAUUCAAUGUUUCAGAAUAACAUGUGACGAUGAUGAAGAGAGAGCAAGUCGCAGGGUAUACAGGGGUUGCUCCCGUUCUCCAACAUGCAAGGGUUGCACUUCCUGUGUGUGUUUUGGGUGUGAAAUCUGUCGGUUCACUGAUUGCAGUUGCCAAACUUGCAUUGACUUCAUUAGGAAUGCCGAAGCUUGAGUUAUUUUAAGGGUGGGGAUUCCUUUUUGUUGUUCUGGUUCCUUGAAGACAUUGUCUUUCAUUACUAUUAAUUGCCAGUCCCUGAGUUCAGCACUCAUGGUGUCGUUAUCUGGUUUAAAAACUUCAAAUUAAUUUAUAUUUAGAUCUCAGCAUUGUUGUUUGGUCCAUAUUCCCAUUUCUCUUCUCUGCUAUUUGGUUUCUUUGUGGCGGUACUAAGUUUAUUGCUACUACUUAAAAGUGGUAUCUAUCUUUUGAGUAAAGCCCAGUUGGAACCGCAAUCUCCAACCCCAACCAAGGUGCAGAGUUAAAAAUACAAGAUUAGGGAGAGUAGUUAAACUAGGAUCAAACUUGUGCUGCUGCUGGUGAAACAGACACGCUAGAAACACCGUGCCCUUUCUUGCUAAGGUUUUUGUCUUUGUGACGAAUUCAGGAAUAAAAGAGAUUCCUAAUCUCAGUGGUGGUCUGUCUAUGAUUACCCAAAAAGUAUAAGCUUCUUUUUUGGAAACUCUCCACCUUCGUUUUCUUCAUCAUCGUAGGAAGAUGAUAACCAAGAUUAGGUGCCUCUCGUCCCCAUCUUUCCCUCGAUAGAUGUACUCAGCUUAACCCUAUCCUUCUUCCACCUUCACUCAAUAAUCAACUCAGUUGACCACUUCCGACUGCAAAGUAAAAAGUUAUAUAUAUAUAUAUGCGUGUAAAUUGAAGACAUUUGUAAUGAAGAAAAAUAGUAGGCAAAAGUAUAAUGGAGACAUUAUAAUGGAGACAUUUGUAUUAAAAGGUAAAUUGUAUUUUUCACUUUAUACUUAAGAAAUUGACAAAUUAACCUCUGAAUAUUUAAAAAAAGUGCAAAUUGGCUCUUCCGUUUAAAAUUUUAUUAGUAAUCAUUUGAUGUUUUUUAAAAUUUUUUAUGCAAGUGGCGUGGUAUUAAAGGAUGAGUAAGAUUAGGUAAUAAUAUCAUGGAGGCACUUGUAUUAGGAAUUAAAUUGUAUUUUGUCCUCUCUACUAAAAAAUGAGCAAAUUAGCUUUUGUACAUUAGAUUAAAGAGUAAAUUGGCUUUUUUGCUAAAAAAAUUAUCAAUUUCUACGAGUAAGUGAUGACAUGGAUGACGGAGAAAUUAGAUAGUGACAAUGGUGUGCCACAUGUAACUCAUGUUGAUUUGGCAUUUUGCAAUGUUAGUAAAUAUUUAAAAAUAAAAAAAAUCUCAAAACAAAUAUUUUUUUAUAAUUAUUUUAAAAAUCAUGUACAAGAUGAACUUAGACAAAAAAAAAUUAUAGAAAAUUAUUUAAAAAUAUAAAAAUACUGAAAUUAUUAAAAAUAUUUAAAAUAAUGCCGAUAAGGAACUUGGACAAAUGAUUUUUCAGAUUUAUUUUGGAGUGGUUUCUUAAAUAAUUAUUAAAUAUUUUAAAUGAUAAUAAUAAAUUAUUAUGAAAUGUUACUAUUAUAUGUGUAUAUAUUUGAAUUAUAAGAAACUAAUAAAAAUAUAAAGAAAGUUAAUAAAUUAAUAAAAUAGGACUCAUCAACUUGAUUAGCUAAAUAUAUCAACUCAAUUAAGAAGAUACAUAUGUGUAUGGUUUAAUUCCUUAAACAUGUUAUAUGUAUAUAAUUUUUUUAGAAAAUUAAUUAUUAUUUAUAAUUCUUAAUAAUAUUUAAAUAAAUUAUAUAUAUUAUUUUUUUUACAAUUAUUCAAAAAAUUAUUUGCUUAGGUUUAUCCUAGAUGCGAUUUUUUAAAAGAAUUAUAAAAAAUCUGUAAUACCCGAUUUUGGCCCGGGUAAAAAAGGCCCAAACAAAACAAACCCAAUUGCAACAAAAUAGGCCUAAAAUAAACGACCCAAACUUAAAGCCCAAUUACAGUUUAGCCCAAAUAGGCGAGAACAAUUUCUGAAACCCUAGCAACAGCAACGUCUCGCGCCGCAGCCCUCCGGAUCUUCACAAUCUUCACCUGCAAACACAAGAAAGGAAAGAAAAUCAAAUCGAAUCAAAUCAAAUCAAGUAGAUUUCUUGUUUUUUUGUUGUUUUAUUUCAUUUGGCUAUAAAAUAGCCAUUGUAAUACUGUAAUAGGAGGGGAAGGAGAAAUCAAUAAAAAAGCAUGAUUUUUUACAACACAAACAGAGGGCUCAAUAUUGAGAAAGCGAAAAAUUAGUUCAAAGGUCUAUAUUUCAUUUUUUUCACUUACUUUGUUUACUUUUUUUAUGUGUGUUUGUAUUUAUAUUUAUAUUUUUCUAAAACAUAUAAUAAAAAGGAAAGAAGUCACCUUUAGGGGUGCCCAGAUCGCUGUGGAUGGCCGAGGGUGUCGCCUCCGAUGACAGAUGACCAGAAGGCGAAGGGUUUCUCUGCUUUUAGGGGCACUUUUGUUGAUAUUUUGAGAGAUUUGAGCCCGGAUUUAGGCUUAGGGGGUCGAGAAGGUCAAACCGGGGAUUUUCCCCUUUUUCGACCACCGCAGACGGUGGUGCCGGCGCUAGAGAUCGGCGGCCGGCAUGGUGGCCGACGACCAGCCGAUGACCAAACCAGAGGCCAGUGCACGGAGGUUGAGAGCUUUUUUUUAAUUGAUUUUCGGUUUUUUUUUUGAAGGAAUGAAGAAAUGAAAUUUUUUUUAUAUUUUUGGCUUAAAUAGCCGAUUGAAAACUGCGCCGUUUUGAAGGGAGGAUCCGCGCGUCAACCCGACCCGGACCCAGGAUCCGCGUGUUUUUCAUGCGGAUGGGCAAAUUGCGCUUUUGGCCCCUCUGCCUUUUAAUAUAUUUCCAAUUAGGUUUUUUGUUUUUUUAAAUUUGGCCUUUAAUUUAUUUUAAAUUUCAAUUUAAUCCUUUUGAAAGGCGCCGUUUUAGAGGAGAAGGGAAAAUUGCUCUUCCAGCCCCUCUAUGUGAUUCACGCGUUCAAUUUAGUCCUCCAGACUUUAUUUAUUUGUGGAUUUACCCCAUAUUUUUUUACCUGCAAUCCAAUUUAGUCUUUUUAUAUUUUUCUUAAAAUUAAUUAAUUUUGAUAAUUGUUUUUUUAUUUUAUAAUUUUCAUAUGUAAUGAUUAUUAUUUUAUCUAUACAUGUAUAUUUAUUUUUAUGUAUGUAUUUAUACCCAAAAAAACUAAUAUUUUUCGUAUAUUUAUAUAUAUACACAUGUUUUAUUUAUUUAAUUAAUUUUGAUAUCAUUUUAAUUAUUUCAAACUUAUAUAUUUUUAUGUGUACAUGUAUACAUCUUUUUUUGUUUAUUUCAAUCAUUUGUUUAUUAAUUUAUGUUUGCAUAUUUUUAUUAUUAUCUUGCCCAUUUAUUUGAUAUUUUGCAUGUCAUUAUCUUAUUUAUUUAUUUAUUCAUAUCAUUUCUAUGAAAUUGUUGUAUUUAUUAUUGAUAUUUGUUUAAGGGGCAUCUAUUCACACAUUCAACAUAACAUUACACUAUCUUUCACUUAAUAUUUUAUAAUAAAAUGUUUCAAAAUAGAGAUAAUACUCGUAUUUAAGAUUUCUCAAGAAAAUUGAGCCAUAACAUAUUGGGUUCCGAUUUUUUUUGCAAAAUCUAACAAUUGAGGAUUGCUCUUUAAAUCAAAUAAAAUAAAACUUAUCAUUGGGAAUUCAAUGUGUUGUGUCCUAACGUAUUGGAUGUGACACGUUGAUUUCUCGAGAUAAAGAUUUUUAAAAAAUAAAAGAAAUAUUGAAUGUUUGGGAUUUUAAGGAAUUGUGCCCUAACGUAUUGGGCCACAAUUUCUUCAUAAAAUUUAAACAAUUAGAUAUUUUCUUAAAUUCUAUUACACGAAUUUUUGACUAACUCAUUGUGAAGAGAAUAAAAUAUUGUGCCCUAACGCAUUGGGUGUGAUGUUUUUCUUUCCAAAAUGAGAAGGUCUUAAUAAAUAAUUUAAUUUAAUUAAGGAUCGCGUUCUUUAAUUCUCGACUUCAAGACAUUAAUUAAUCAAUUUGGUACCAAUUUUUGGGCGUUACGGGGAUGCUAACCCUUCCUCGUACAUAACCUACUCCCGGAUCCAUUUUUCUAAAACUUGUAGACCAAAGCUAUUUUUUAGGUGAUCCAAUCACACCUCAAUAAAAGAUUAGUGGCGACUCCCAAACAACCUAAAAUUUUUGUUUUUAAAAAAAAAUAGUUUCGACAAAAUCAUUUAUUUUUUAGGAUUAUAAAGAUGAAAAGCAAUAAAUUAAAGUGAAGUGAGGUUGGUUAUUUGGAUUAAUUUGAUGAUUAUUGUGAAUGGACACACUAAUCUAGCUUUACACCAUUUCCUCAUUCUAUUGCAAUAGGUAUGCGUUUGAUUAAUUAGCAUUUUCGCUUCCCAAACUAAAUAUUUGGAAAUAAAAAUAGAAAACUUUAUUAUAUUUAAAUGUUAAAUGCUACCAAACAAAACGGAGCAAUCAAGGAUAUACAUAAAGCCAAUUUAUUCAAUGCGUGUACAAAUAUUGGUGAACUCAAUUUUGUAUUUUGAUGUAUGUUUAUUUAAUUUGCAUUUUUUGACAUUUAAAAUUUGUUGAAAAGUAACACUUCUUUUUUCUAUUUGAAUGAGUACCAAUUUAAUAAUUAAAUUUAAAGUAUAUUUAUUUUUAUUUUAAAAAAUUUUAACUAAUCAUUUUUCAGUAUUUCUUAUUCAAGAAAAACGAAAAUGGUUCUAUUACGUGACACCAAAUUUGGCUCCAUUUCAUCUUACUUUAUUUUCAAUAUAUAGUCCAUGAGCCACUAUCCUUAGUGAUGAGGAUUCAACACUUGCGGUCUUCCUUUUUUAGCAGAUAAGUUACAACCCAGUAUGAGCAAUAAGAUCAUGAGGGGGAGACACCACACAGUCCUUACCAUCAUUUCCAGAUCUACCAUUGUUUGCACUUUGUUACUUUCACCACUAACAAACGAGGAUACAACCAUUUUGAAUGUGGAAAUAGAUAAAAAUGGUAUGUUUAACAACACUUCCAUCACUCCAAAAAAAAAAUUUAAUUAUAAAAAGCUUUAUUCAUUAUUUGGCUUAGAAACUACAUCCCUAUUCUCACUUCUAUAUUUAAAUUUGUUUUUGCUCUGUUUUGGCAUUUGAACUUUGCUCCGUUAUCCUUUUUAGUACUUAAAAAUUGACUAGUGAUAACGUGCGCCAUUGAUGACAUGACAAAAUCACUAAAUUAAAAUUAUAAAAGAAAGUAAAAAAGGUAUUUAAAAAAUAUAAAAAAUACAAAAAAAAAUGGUAAAACUUAUUAAAACAAUACAAAUACAGAAGUGAAAGGAGCCAAUUAUGAGCGGUCUGUUAAUAUGGUAUUUUUCUUAAUCGUAUAUUAGUUUUUUUUUGUUAAAAAUAAAAGGCUUAAAAUGUGUGUAAAUGAUUAGUCUUUUUGCGUUCGCUUCAACUCUCUCUUUUGACAUGACUUGGUUGUAAUUUUCCUCCUUACUGGAAUUGGGUCCCCUCAUCUUAAAUGUGAAAGCAUUCCAACAUUUCAAUUAUUGACAUAGAAAAGAAUGUUUUAGGACUGUGAUUUUUGUUAAUACCACCAUUUUGCCAUGCAUUGCGAUUAAUGAACAGGGUAGCAUACUUUUUUUUGGACAAGGUGCUUUUUCAAAUUUAUAGACACGUACAAUGAUGCUAAUCUAUGGUAGUGCUAGUGCCCAGUUUAUAGUCUAAUAUUCCCCAACAUUAGUUUCAAAUCACCAAAUCUGCUUAACCUAGGAACUUUCAGUACGUAGGAUCUAAAAUGAUCAUAUAAGAAAGCAUGGAUAAGCAUGAUAGGUCAUAAUUUAUAACUAAUGUGGAAAUUGAGAUACAUGAUUACUUGACAAGAAAUAGAUUCCAACUGGAAAAUACAUACAGGAGUAGACUCUAGACUUCACUAAAAUGACAAACUCGAAUUCAUAUCACUUUAGUUAUGUGAAUGAAUACGAUAGACUACAAUGGAACCCCUAAAGACUCAAUGCAGAUAAUUGAUUCCCUUUAUUCUUAGAUUUAUUGAAAGUUUCAUAGCCAAGCAUGUUCAAGGACGUGGGUUUGUUCCUGCAAUGCCAGCACCACGACCUGCUGGAAUUGGCACCUCAAAACCAGGGUUUGGAACGAAUGUGUCAUCACUACCUGGAAGCUGGCGAUUUCCACCAAUUGUGCUGCCAACAUGGCGGCCACUGCUGCCGGUGUGGGUGCCAGUGCCGAUGGUGUGUGGAUUGUGAUGUUUGAAAAUUGGUGGCAGCAACACUCGUCCAAGGCCUGGAAUGAGCACACUACGGUCAUGUUUUAGAAAUUCAGGUUGUUUCAUUUGAUCAUCAUUCUUCGAGAUGUCACGUGCUGCAAUGGCUUGCCCAGCAAUAACAAACAGAAUGCUGAGCAUGAAAACGUGAGUAAGCAAGGAACUAAUUUUGCAAUCCAUUAUCAGAGUAAGUAAGAGUGAGAGCUAGGAUUGGUUCUGAUAUGAUGGGGAGAAGGGAUUAAAUAAUGCUUCUUAUAGAGAAGGUCUAAGUGAGUUGGUUGAUCAAUUGGCGGUGAGUUAGAAAGAGCAUUCCAUUUUAAAAGCACCAUUGAAGGAGACGUCCCAUAAAAACAGAAGCAAAGCAUGCAAUAAUUAGCAUGAAUUGCAUGGGUAGGUUAGGUGGCUUAGGGUUUGCCAUGUUGGGUGAGGUUUUUGGGUAAGUUAUGAGAUUUUUCUCUUCAAAGGCUAUGUGUAUCUAUACUAAAAACGCUUAAAUUAUAUUUACAUUAUGUUUUUAUACUAUAUUUUGACUAAUUCAUUCUUUCACCACAACUCUAUUGGAAACUCAGAUGAAUAUGUAUCUGUCAUGGAAGAUCCACAACUUGUAAUUAUCUUUUCUUUUGUCGGUUUAAUUCAACUUAAUAUUAAUUGAAAACAUGUAAACAAAAAAAUCAUACAAAAAUAUAUAUUUGACAUUGGAGUGAUAACAAAAGCUUUGUUAUGUUGUAAAUUCAAUGAAUAAUAGGCAUGUAUAGCAUACAAUGAAAAAAAUGUACAUAAACAUUUUAGUAAAAAAAAAAACACUUUGAUACCAUAUUAAAAUAGAUAUAAAAUUAUUUAAAACAAAAAAAGUUAAAUUGACUAGAAAAAACCUAAUUUAUUAUUGGUGAGAAUAUGGUCUAAGCACUUAUACUUUUUACACUAGUUCCUCUACUUAUAUUUCUACUAAUUUAUUACACGUAUUUUUUGAAUUUAAAAAUUUAAGUUCAAGUAUUAACCCUGUUAAAAUUAUUUAAUUAAAUUCAUUAAUAAAAUAUUUUAAAAUAAAAAAACUCACUUGAUAGUUAUGUAACAAAAACAAAUGAUAUUAUAAUAGGAUUAAAUUUAACAAAAAAUUAACAAUUAAACUUGUAUUUUUAAAUUCAAAAAAUAAAGAUACUAAAUUUUUUAAAAAAUAAAUUGAAAGAUUAAAUUAUAUGAAAAAAUAUAUAUAUAUAACACAUAUUUAAAUUUAAAUUUGAAUAUGAUGACCCACAAAUAGUGACUUGCAAAAUGUUGACUGCUACCAAAUAAAACGGAGCAAUAAAGGAUUUGAUGCAUAAAGCCUAGAGGUGUAAACCAUUUUGCUCACAUGGAUAUAUUCAAUGUGUGUAUAAAUAUGGGUGAAAUGAGAAUUGUCUAUUUAUAUUAAAGCAAUGCUUAUUUAGCUUGCAUUUUUACAUUUAAAAAAACUAAGGCUCCUUUUUAUUUUAAAACUGGUAUUUUUUAUUUUUAAAAUUAAAAAACAUCUUCGGUAAAAAGAAAAAUUUUCAGUAAUAUAAAAAUACGAUUCAUAUUUAUUUCCUAUAAUAGAAACAUGAGAAAAAAAAUAAUUUUUUUUAAAAAAAUACUAAAAAUCAUAGAAAAGUGUAAAACUUUUUAAAACAUUACAAAUUUUGCAGUGUGCAGUGUGUUUGCUUAAUCUGUUGGGUAGUAGAUAUUUGGUAGUAUUUAACAGUUUGAAGUUGCAAAAUAAAGAAAUGUCAAAUCAUGGAUUUUUUAUCAUUCAAGAUACAAAAUUUCAAAAAGGCUAAUAAAAAAUAUUAUGCUUUUCGACAAAAAAGAAGAAGCUUGUACUUGUUUUGGAGAAAUAAGAAAAUCUUAUAUGAGUAGUUCUGCUAAAAAUGUAUUUAUUAAGACAUUUUAUUAGUCAGCAAGGCCAUUAAGUUGAGGUUUUAAAAGGGUUAAUAUCACAAAUUGCCAAACAUAGGACAUGGAACAUUUGUUUCUUUGGUGCCAAUUUGCUCGAGCAAUAUGAAGUUAUUUGGGGUUCAAGUCAUGCAGGGUUUGGUCCAAUAUUUUAUCAUCACGAGUCGAAAAUCCUUCAAUGCAAUUAAAAUCCAAGUCCAACCAGCACAAAACCGAGGCGAAGGGGGACAGAUACAUGGUUAACAAAGCUUAAUCAUACGAUAGGACCAAAUUGGGAGUGAGAAGGAAAUGGGGACAGGAGGAAGAUUGGUCAGAGAAUGUGGAAAAGGAGAACAGAUUAGUAGCUAAAACCGACUCCAAGAAGCUGGGAAGGGGUUUCCAUCAUGAAAUGGUAGCUAAAAGUGAAGAAACUCGGGGAGGUUCUACAGUUUCACGGGUAGACAGAACAAAUAGAACUAGUAAAAGGAGCCAAUUAUGUUAAUAUGGUAUUUUCCUUAAUCAUAUAUUAGCUUUUUGAUAAAAAUAAAUGGCCUCAAAUGGGUCUUAGCCAAUCUGCAUUCUCUUCAGCUGUCACCUUUGGCAUGACUUUGUUGUAUUUUCCCUCAUUACUGGAAUUGGGUCCCCUCAUCUUAAAUGUGAAAGCAUUCCAGCAUUUUAAUAAUUGACAUAGAAAAGAAUGUUUUAAGGCUGUGAUUUUUAUUAAAACCACCAUUUUGCCAUGUCAUUGUAGUUAAUGAACAGAGUAGCAUACUUUUUUUUGGACAAUGUGCAAGUUCUCUUUUUCAAAUUCAUAGACACGUACAGUGACGCUCCUCUAGGGUAUUGCUAAGUGCCCAUUUUAUAUAGUCUAAUGUUCCCUAAUAUUAGUUUCAAAUUACCAAAUCUGUUUAAGGCAGGAACUUUUAGUAGGAUCUAAAAUGAUCAUAUAGGAAAUCAUUAAUAAGUAUAAUAGACCACAAUUGAUAACUAAUUUGGAAAUUCAGAUGCAUGAUGACUUGGCAAGAAAUAGUUUCCGACUAGAAAAUGCAUACAGGACUAGGAGUAGGCUCUAGACUUUAAAAUGACAAACUCGAAUUCAUAUAAUUUUAAUUAUGUGAAUGACUACGAUAUAUUACAAUGGGACCCCGAAAGACUCAAUGUAGAUAAGUGAUUCCCUUUAUUCUUUAAUUGAUUGAAAGUUUCAUAGCCAAGCAUGUUCAAGGACGUGGGUUUGUUCUUGCAAUGCCAGCACCACCACCUGUUGGAAUUGGCACCUCAAAACCAGGGUUUGGAACGAAUGUAUCAUCACCACCUCGAAUCUGGCGAUUUCCACCAAUUGUGCUGCCAAAGUGGCCUCCACUGCUGCCGGUGUGGGUGCCAGUUCCGAUAGUGUGUGAAUUGUGAUGUUUGAAAACUGGUGGCAACAACACUCGUCCAAGGCCUGGAAUGAGCACGCUACGGUCAUGUUUUAGAUAUUCAGGUUGUUUCAUUUUAUAAUCAUUCUUCGAGAUGUCACGUGCUGCAAUGGCUUGCCCGGCAAUAGCAAACAGAAUGCUGAGGAUGAAAACAUGAGCAAGAAGCAAGGAACUAAUUUUGCAAGCCAUUAUCAGAGUAAGUAAGAGUGAGAGC